ensembl:lincRNA
AAUAUAUUAAAAAUACCUUUUAAAAAAACUUUAUACUUUUUUACAGUGUUAAAAAAAACAGUCUUGAGAAGUACCUAGAAUUCUGACUUGUGGCAAGUGAUGGAGCUAUGGUGUGGAUGGAGCUCUGGACAACAAUGGUGGCCUUGUUUUAGAUACAGCAGUGUUUGGGGAUCAUUACAUUAUGCUUGAUGGGUCCGGUGCACCCCUGAAUUCUCCCACCUGUCAGCUCGAUGCACAGUGGGCACUCCAUCGAUACUGAGAGAUGGUUACUUCGAAGAAUGGACUGGUAGUAAGGACAUGGGGUGCCCACCCUUAAAUGACAGGCAGAUUUUUUUUUCAUUUGAUUUACUAGGAGACGUGAAGAAACAUAAGCAGGGAGUUUCCUGAAGACUUCAAAACAAAGCCAGGUUGCUCUCUCUACAGCAGCCCUAAUCAUAGUGGUUAGCGGUGUAGUUGGGCUGUUCUUUCCUACCCAGAAUGAGCAACAAACAUGAGAGAAAGAUACAAAAGCAUUUAGAUUCACUUGAGUGUGAUGAAGAUGCUGGCUGGCAUCUUGCGUCAUUGGUCUGUUUUAUUUCUACUGCAGUUGGUUUCAUCACAUUUUGCAAAGGGCCCCAGGAGAAUGUGAGUUAGAAAUAAGACAAGGAGCUAGGGCCGUCGUUCAAUUCCCCGUACUACGAAAGGGUGGGUGUGCUAGCCCACACCUGCAAUUCCAGCGAUCAGAGGUAGAGGCAAGAGGAUCAGAAGCUCAAGGUCUUGCCUGUUAUAUAGCAAGUUUGUGGUAGCCCCUGAGUCAUGAGAUGUAUGGGUGGGGCAGAGAAGAUAAAGAGGAAGGGAAAGAGGAAAGAAAAGAAGACAGAGAGGAAGAAAGAAAAGCAAAAGCAGGUGCUGUGGGUUUCAGUCCCAGGAGUCCCAGAAACGCUGUUUGCACAGGAGGGAGGUUCCUCUCCCUGGGUCUGCUAGAGUAGAUAGCAUCCCCAGAAACGCUAAUGGAAAUCCCUUGUUUGCUGUCCUUGCCUGCCAAGAGCAGUGAGGCCGAGGCAGGCCUGGGGUGAACAUGCCCUGGUGAGGUAAUGGAGGGAACCCUGGUGCAUCCUCCUUUGGCUGGUCCCUGCGUGUCUGAAUCAGGGAUCUGGGCGGCAGGGGUGAAAGCUGGGUCACCCUUCCUGACCUCUCUGCUGAUAGGUGGUGGCUGGAUCCAUCUAACUGGUCUUCCAUGGGCACUCUAAGGAGUUGCCCACUUGACAUCUUUGAUCCAGAGACUUCUCUGUGGGGCUACAGGCGACCACAGUAAGAGCUGAGGACUCACACUGAUUGUCUGAAAAUUUUCACAUUGAGUUUCUUUUUGCUGUUGUUUCUGGGGUUCUCAUAAAUUGAUAAGCGCUUUUUAAAAAAAUCUGUAUGAUACUAACAAAAAAUCUGGAAGCAGUAGAACCAUGUAAGUGUGACGGCCCUGUGAUACAGUUAUUUUAAAUUAUGUUUGUGUUUUCCUAAUGUCUUCCUAAUGUUUUAGUAUGUAUUAUUUAUAAUUAUGUGCACAUAUGCUUCUUCUUGUAUAUGUUGAUGUAUGUGUGCUUGUGUUGAACAGCAUUAAAGAUUUUGAAAUAUG